UACGUAGGGGGCAAGCGUUGUCCGGAUUUAUUGGGCGUAAAGAGCGUGUAGGCGGUUAGGUAGGUCCGUUGUGAAAACUCGAGGCUCAACCUCGAGACGCCGAUGGAAACCAUCUGACUAGAGUCCGGAAGAGGAGAGUGGAAUUCCCGGUGUAGCGGUGGAAUGCGUAGAGAUCGGGAAGAACACCAGUGGCGAAGGCGGUCUGCUGGGCCGUUGCUGACGCUGAGGCGCGACAGCGUGGGGAGCAAACAGG
rnacentral:rRNA from 1 species